rnacentral:rRNA from 1 species
GAGCACGUAGGUGGGUUUGUAAGUCAGAUGUGAAAUCCCUCGGCUUAACCGGGGAACUGCGUUUGAUACUGCGGUCCUUGAGUACAGGAGGGGAGAGUGGAAUUCCUGGUGGAGCGGUGAAAUGCGUAGAUAUCAGGAAGAACGCCGGAGGCGAAAGCGACUCUCUGGCCUGUUACUGACGCUGAGGUGCGAAAGCCAAGGGAGCGAACAGGAUUAGAUACCCUGGUAGUCUUGGCUGUAAACGAUGGGCACUAAGUAGAGGGGUUUU